CCUACGGGAGGCAGCAGUGAGGAAUAUUGGUCAAUGGGCGCGAGUCUGAACCAGCCAAGCCGCGUGCGGGAAGAAGGCACAGCGUAUUGUAAACCUCUUUUGUCAGGGAAUAAACUCGGGCACGUGUCCCUUGUUGCAGGUACCUGAAGAAAAAGCACCGGGUAAUUCCGUGCCAGCAGCCGCGGUAAUACGGAGGAUGCGAGCGUUAUCCGGAUUUAUUGGGUUUAAAGGGUGCGCAGGCGGCCUGUUAAGGGGGCGGUAAAAGCCCGGGGCUCAACCCUGGCGCGCCGUUGGAACUGGGGGGCUGGAGUGGGCGGGAGGUAGGCGGAAUGCGCGGUGUAGCGGUGAAAUGCUUAGAUAUCACGCAGAACCCCGAUUGCGAAGGCAGCCUACCGGAGCGUCACUGACGCUGAGGCACGAAGGCGUGGGUAUCGAACAGGAUUAGAUACCCCAGUAGUC
rnacentral:rRNA from 1 species